rnacentral:rRNA from 1 species
GUAGGUGGCAAGCGUUGUCCGGAAUUAUUGGGCGUAAAGCGCGCGCAGGCGGUUCGUUUAAGUCUGAUGUGAAAGCCCGCGGGCUCAACCGUGGAGGGUCAUUGGAAACUGGAGAACUUGAGUACAGAAGAGGAAAGCGGAAUUCCACGUGUAGCGGUGAAAUGCGUAGAGAUGUGGAGGAACACCAGUGGCGAAGGCGGCUUUCUGGUCUGUAACUGACGCUGAGGCGCGAAAGCGUGGGGAGCAAACAGGAUUAGAUACCCUGGUAGUCCACGCCGUAAACGAUGAGUGCUAAGUGUUAGGGGGUUUCCGCCCCUUAGUGCUGCAGCUAACGCAUUAAGCACUCCGCCUGGGGAGUACGGCCGCAAGGCUG